GCCAGACUCCUACGGGAGGCAGCAGUGGGGAAUAUUGCACAAUGGGGGAAACCCUGAUGCAGCAACGCCGCGUGAAGGAAGACGGUUUUCGGAUUGUAAACUUCUGUUCUUAGUGAAGAAUAAUGACGGUAGCUAAGGAGCAAGCCACGGCUAACUACGUGCCAGCAGCCGCGGUAAUACGUAGGGGGCGAGCGUUAUCCGGAUUCACUGGGUGUAAAGGGAGCGUAGACGGCCAUGCAAGCCAGGGGUGAAAGCCCGGGGCCCAACCCCGGGACUGCCCUUGGAACUGCAUGGCUGGAGUGCGGGAGGGGCAGGCGGAAUUCCUGGUGUAGCGGUGAAAUGCGUAGAUAUCAGGAGGAACACCGGCGGCGAAGGCGGCCUGCUGGACCGUGACUGACGUUGAGGCUCGAGAGCGUGGGGAGCAAACAGGAUUAGAUACCCGAGUA
rnacentral:rRNA from 1 species